GCCUCCACCGUCGCCGCAGUCGGGACGAGCGGGGCUCCGCGAGGAGCUCCGGCGCCUGCUCUGCGUCCCCGAAGAGCUGCUGGAACCGAGUCUCGAGGCUAUCCCAGAAGUAGGGAAGGGUGAAGAUCCCUGUGGGCUGCACACUCUUGGGUCUGUGGCUUGAGAAGAAUCCCUUCCUGCUCACAAUGGGCACACCUUAUGACCUCACAGACCGGGAAAAGACAGAGACUCAACGCUGAAAAGGGCCACAGCCCCCAGCAUCCUCUCCACCUUCCCAUUCUCCCUCAGCAGAACAUGGAGGCCUCAGAAGGAAAGGAUCUGAGCCACUUGCUUGAUCCAGGCCUGGCUGACCGCAGGAUCUGCAGUCUGUAGGACAUAGCGCUGGAUCCCACCCUCUGGCCCUCUGGAGGUCAGUGCAAAUCGGCAAGGGUCACCUUGGAGGUUCCCCUCCAGUCCCAGGCAGCUCACCUGGAUUGGCAAAAUGGAGACAGCUCCCAAAUUCUUUAGGUCUUCUCUGGUUCCCGGCCCCUCCCAACAAAUCCAGCAGCCAGACAUUCCCUCAGAGGCCUCACUCUGUCCUAGGCACACCCCUCCCUUGUGGCCUCCUCCCCACCUUGAUGCUGCUCUUGUACACAUAUCCAGCCAGUGCUCCGCCUCGUACUCCUCCUCCCAGGGCCUCACUGAAGAUGACGAUUUGCUCAAAGAGGAAGACACGUCUCUCUCGACCCCGGGAAGAGAGCAGACCGCCAGCCUCAGGCUCUGUGACCCAGAAUGUGUCCUGGCCCAGGAGCUUCCCCUGAGCAGUCAGUUUGCCCUAGAACCAAAGGAUGGUGGCUUUGAGAAAAAAGCAAGAAGAGAAAAGGGACACUCUCUGUUCCUCCCUCCUUCCCCUGACACUCCCAACCAACCAUGAGCGCUUGGGUACAAAGCACAUGACCUCCACAGCUCGCUGGGUCGCAGGCGAAGAGAGGAGCAUUGUCAUUGUCAAGAAAGAGGCCUCUUCAGACCAUGUUUCAACUCUCAACCAGCCUCCCCCUGAAAACCAGAGAGCGCAAACCACCCAAGGAGCUGGGGGAAGCCAGGAGACUAAAAAACGUAAGAGUUCACUCAAGACAUACCUGGGAAGAGAACAGGAGUGCGCAUCGUUGAUAUAGUCAAUUCCUCCCUACUGGACUAGAAGCCCCUUCAUUACCACAGUCAACCUCAGAGGAAAUUCCAAGUGUCAAAUCCAAAACAAACGGGCCUGGGAUAGGGUCUCCUCCUCAGGUGGCUGGAAGGAAAGAACAUCCCAGAGUAAACCAAUGGAUGCCUUCUGGGGAGCUCUGCAGAUCCAUUUCUUCAUACCUGCGUCUUAUCUCCAGGGCCCUCCAACAAUGUGGUCAGCAGGGUCUGAGGUAGAUUCUCAGCAAAAGGACUUAAGAUGCAGUUCUAGGCCCAAGAGGAUUGUGGAUGGGUUUUUCUCAUACCCAGUUGACUACAAAACAGAGAGAAGAGUCUCCUGCCCCUUCCCCAAUUUCCUUAACUUGAACUGAUAAAAAUUUGGAGGCAGAUCUUGGACAUCA